rnacentral:rRNA from 1 species
GACGAACGCUGGCGGCGUGCUUAACACAUGCAAGUCGAGCGGUAAGGCCCUUUUGGGGGUACACGAGCGGCGAACGGGUGAGUAACACGUGGGUGACCUGCCCUCAGCUCUGGGAUAAGCCUGGGAAACUGGGUCUAAUACUGGAUAUGACCUUUCCUCGCAUGGGGUUGGGUGGAAAGUUUUUCGGCUGGGGAGUGGGCCCGCGGCCUAUCAGCUUGUUGGUGGGGUGAUGGCCUACCAAGGCGACGACGGGUAGCCGGCCUGAGAGGGCGACCGGCCACACUGGGACUGAGACACGGCCCAGACUCCCACGGGAGGCAGCAGUGGGGAAUAUUGCGCAAUGGGCGGAAGCCUGACGCAGCGACGCCGCGUGGGGGA